rnacentral:pre_miRNA from 1 species
AAUUAAAAAUUACAUCUAUUUAUACUGUUAAAAAUUAAUAUGACUAACGGAAUAACUAAACAGUGACACGUAUAUCUCAUCUUAAUGUAUAGAGACUAAUUUUUAACGGUAGAAAUAGAUGAAAUUUUUAACA